GCGAAAGUGGCGGAAUUGGUAGACGCACCAGAUUUAGGAUCUGGCGCCGCGAGGCGUGAGAGUUCGAGUCUCUCCUUUCGCACCA
rnacentral:tRNA from 2 species